rnacentral:rRNA from 1 species
CCUACGGGAGGCUGCAGUAGGGAAUAUUGCUCAAUGGGGGAAACCCUGAAGCAGCAACGCCGCGUGGAGGAUGAAGGUUUUCGGAUUGUAAAUUCCUUUUGUUAGAGAAGAUAAUGACGGUAUCUAACGAAUAAGCACCGGCUAACUCCGUGCAAGCAGCCGCGGUAAUCCGGAGGGUGCAAGCGUUACGCGGAAUCACGGGGCGUAAAGAGCGCGGAGGCGGGAUAGCAAGUCAGAUGUGAAAUCCUAUGGCUUAACCAUAGAACUGCAUUUGAAACUGUUAUUCUAGAGUAUGGGAGAGGUAGGUGGAAUUCUUGGUGUAGGGGUAAAAUCCGUAGAGAUCAAGAGGAAUACUCAUUGCGAAGGCGACCUGCUAGAACAUAACUGACGCUGAUGCGCGAAAGCGUGGGGAGUAAACAGGAUUAGAUACCCCUGUAGUC